UCAAGAAGUAUGUAUUAUCUCACUACACCUCUGUCAUAAUAUGUCAGCAUAUCUAGAUGUCUGUUUUCUAUGAAAUUUGUAAUCAGAGAUGGAUAUCAUCACUUUCAAUACUCUGCUAAUUGACCAAACUCUGCAUGGAAAAACUGCAGUUGGACAAACAUAGAUAUACCCAGGAUCUAGCUUUAAUGUUAGGUAAAUGAUUUGAUCUUUAGAAUGGUGUCCCAGGGAUGUACAUGUUGCUUUUAGCUACAGGCAACAACAGAAGGCAUAAGUGUUGCUUAGUUCCGUCUCCCCCCAGCGUAUCCUCUGUGUCUUGCUGUAAGAACAGGUGAACUUGAUGUUUGUGGACGGUACCAGCUGAAAUGCUGGGUUCACCUCCCUGUGGAGAAAACUGCUUGCUGAAUCUCCAGUGCAUUGCAAACAAAAUUAAACUUCUUGUAAAAGAAGAGAUAAGGCUGCUUACCCCAAACUGGAGCUUGCGAAACUGAUAAUUAAAAGAAGCCAGCUCAGUAGAAUUUCAGACAUGGCAAUGGAAUCUGCUCUAAUCAGUUCAGUCCCUACCACUGCAUCUCGUUUUGCCUUACUACAACUGGAAAGUGAUACUGAUUCAGAGCCUGGAAAAGGCAGAAGUGGCCGACGUGCUGGUAAAUCUCUAGCUUCAGAGUGUAGAUCUACAAAUGUGAAGAAAAGAGAGAAAAGAAGAAAAAAGAGAGAACAGCAGCAGAGUGAGGCCAAUGAUGUAAAGGGAUUGUAUUUUCAACAGUGAGUAAGGUUGUUGUCUCAUCAAGAGUUUUUGCUGUCCCUGAAAAGUCAUUGGUUUUGGUUUUCCCUGUGAAAGAAGAACUACUUAAUCGCAGAUUACAUCUUUACAUUGUCCUGUCUUAUGUUUCUGAGAAGUACUUGCAUGCUUUAGGGAACUGAAGCUGGAAAUACACCCUUUUGUUUCAGUCAUUUCACAGCUUAGCUUUCUAAAUGUCUCUUUGUUUAUCAAGUCUUUAGGGUGGAGUAAGCUCUGUGCACUUACAAAUUGCUAAAGCAGUGUUCCAUGUCAUGAAUGGGACCGACUCGGUCUUAUCUGUUGUUUUUCAUAUACAAAUCUGACAGAAUCCGUUCGCGUUUUGCUCCUUGAGCUCUGUCGGCAUUGUGUCUACAGAUGUGUCUGUGUGUGGACGUGUGCCUGGGCACUCCCGGCGGCUGCUGGGCCAGCAGCUGCGAGCAGUUGUGAGCGUGGCUCGCCUACUUGGAGACCGCUUGUGUUUGAGGGAAAACUCAGCCUUUACCGCUGAGCUCCACCGGAGCCGUGAGGAGACGCUCUCCUCCAUGACGAGCGCGGCGAUGGAAGCCGCAUUUCGCACCCCUGCUUUGACCACAAGCAGACGGCCCCCUCCACCCUCCCCAGGACUCGAGGGCGAGCUGUGCGCGUCCCUGGGGGCCGGGGGCUGCCCCCCGGUGUCCCCUCACACCCACCCCUCAACCCCCGCUCCGCCCGCGCCCUCCUGCCGCGGGGGGCCGCUGUGCGCGGCGGGGCGGCGCCGCCGAAGGUUGCGGCCGUUGCCUAGCGAGGCGCUGUCACCAGCAGCGCGGGCGGCCCAGGCGCGGCCCGCCGGCCCCUCAGCCCGCCCGGAGGCUGCCUCCCGCCGCCCGGAGCAGGUUUGGAGCGGGGAGCGACGGGGCCGGGGCUGGGGCUGGGGGGAGCCGCCCCACAGCGCCGCUGAGCCGGCAUUUUGCUUGGUGUUUGUUUGAGGAAGUAGGAAAUGGGAUCUCUCCCCUCCUCCGCCCCUCCCCUCCCGCGACUGGUUUGGGUGUCAUUUUGGGAGGGGGGGGGAGUCAGUAAGUUUUCAGUAUGUGCUCGUGAUUGCCGUGCCCUUUCUGAAAUGAGCAGGAUUUCAGGCUCUUGCAAAGCCUCCUUGACUGAGAAUCAGCAAGAGAAGAGCAGAAGAUGUGUUUGGGAUCCGGCAGCAUUUGAUACCCAUCGAGGCUUUGGAGUGUUUCUGGUAGACAUUUGUAAAGAAAUCCUAUUCGAUGCUUCUUCUUGUGCUUCAGAAUUAAUCCGUGGGGGGCAGUAUAAGGAGCCAUGGUUGCUGAAAUAUAUAACUAAUAAAAAAUAGUUCCAUAUGGGCAUAAA